CUAUGUACCCCUCAAUAUGAACCAGUCGAUGAAGUUGUUAUUGAUGCCUAUGGGGCAGUUGAAAAGUAUUAUGAUUAACAAGGAUUAUGACUCCCUAGGCUACUUUGUGCCCAUCAUGAUUGUGACAUUCCUCAAUAAAGGAGGAGGAGGAGGAGGAGGAGGAGGAGGAGGAGGAGGAGGAGGAGGAGGAGUCCUUCCCAUCAGCAUAGCUCAUUCAGUAGUUUCACUCUGGAACCUGGAGGUUUCUGAGUGUCCCAGUGUUAUCCAGCUGAUAGAGGUCUGUGCCACUUCAAUUUGACUAUGAUAUCAAGGUGACCCCAGUGUUUGUACAUAGGAACUAGAACCUAAGGACAUAUCUGGAAAAGGCACUGUUUCAGACCAUCAUGGAUCGGAUGUGUAUAUCUGGCAUAUGAAUUUCAUCAUUUACUGAGACCUGAACCCAACCCAGAGAAACUUCUUGUAGGAAUCAGUGGGUCAAGUUGGCCAACUUUGGCCUAGCCAGAAUCUAUAGCUACCAGAUGGCCCUUACACAUGUGGUGUUGCACUCUGGCACCGUGCCAUUGUAGUGCUGUGUCAGCUGUAUCUUUGCAGAGAUGGUUCGUGGACAGCCUCUCUUCUGUGGAAACUCUGAAGCUGACUAUUGGGAAAAGACUUCCGUCUGAUUAGACUGUAUCCCGAGAAUGACUGGUCUCUAGAUGUAUCUCUCUACCCAAGCCUUUUCCCCUAGAUGGCUUCAACCAGUACAGUGGUUGCUACAGGAGACAGAGGAGUCUAGAACACUAGACAUCUCUGUAGAAAUGCUGACUAUUAAGCCAUGGAUGAAUCUUUGCUUCCAAUUCCUGCAGAACUCUCCCCUACACACGGAA
rnacentral:lncRNA from 1 species